rnacentral:rRNA from 1 species
GCGAAAGCAUUCAUCAAUUACAUUCUCUUUAAUCAAGAACGAAAGUUAGAGUAGCAAAGGGCAUUAGAUGCAGCUGUAGUUUUAACCAUAAACGAUGACAUCUCAGGAUAUCACUGACAAUCAUGCUUAUGGCGGUGUGUUUGCUGGAGCAAUCCAGCGCGCACCGCUAUGCUAAUGUAGAUUAUGUUCAUUGAGGUCUGAAGAAGUAAUUCUUCACCUCGUCUCGACCAAUGAUGCACUAUGUGGGAAACCAACAGACGUCUUC